rnacentral:lncRNA from 1 species
GCUGACUGUCCCCGCACCCAGCUGCCUUGGAGACAGGAGUGUCGUAUAAGCCCGUAGGUAAGAGCACGGUGCUUGCCAGGCGCCAAACGAAGUUCCCGAGCCUGAAGCCGGCACGUCUGGAAGUAGCUUUUUUUACCUUCUGCUGGGGGAGGGGAGUAAGUUACCUAAAGUGUUCCCAAGCACCUUCUCUCUAGAAAUACUUCAGUAAAAGUUCCAGUCCCCUCUUUCUGCGUGUUUUAUUUUCCAACCAAAAGAUGGUGUUAUUGGACAUUUCUAGUGGUUUUCCUUUCUCUCAUUUCUUCCUAAGAGCCCAGAAUAGGUUUCAGAGAGACGCUUCCUUGCCUCGGACCUCACUGGGGCCAAGAGGCCACAGGGUCAGUCUUCGCAGCUGAAGACAGCGCCGCAAUAAGCAGAGACCUCGGGACGAUGAAUGACGUUGCUGACAAAGAAAAUGAUUUUUUUAAUUGCUUUAACAAAGGAGACUGCUAGUCUCGAAAGCAGACCCGAACUGGACCCUUGUGCCUGUUCGAACUGUAGCCUUGCAAAGGAAUGGACUUACUGAUAACUGGAAUACGGGACUUCACCCCAGGCUUGUUUCUCGACAGCAGCAGCAGCCAAUGAGCAUUGAGGACGGAGCCUAGGAGAGGUGCCUCCCCUAUAGGGGAACAGUGUUUGGGGGAAAUCACUGCAAACGUACAGCUGGAGUUUUGUACCUGAACUUUGGCUCCCAGAAGGCAGGAAAGGAAAUGAAUGAAGCAAGCUGAGUAUGGCGGGGAGGGCCCCUGUGGGUACACCUACGGAGCACCUUGAGCUCAGUAGGGGGACAGUCUGAGUUUUCCAGAAAGAACAGAAAUAUAAAGUGAUGAUUAAAUCUCGGGAUUUUUAAUUUUUGAGUGUUGACAACUAAUUAGAACAUUUUUAAAGCAGGUCAAAGCACAGGCAGGCUAACUGGCCCCACGCACAACUUGCAAGGUGGGGCGCACCAGGCUCACUGCACAGCCCAUACCCACAGACCCCUCAGAUUGGAGUCGGGGCAGAAGCAGAACGCAGGACUCGCAGGAAACAGACCAGGUUCCAAGGCCCCCAGGGUCCCAAAGGCUGGGGUAACUGAAGGUUCCCACGCUCAGGCCUCCACUCUUCAAGUCCGCUGCUACUCCACUGAGAUCUGUAAUGAGUCUCCUGCCAUCUACGCACAGUGGUGACUCCUCUUCUCCAAGGCCCCGCCAGGAGUCUUUCAUUCCAACGUGUUCGCAGGAUCUUCUGGGGAACCGUCCAGCCUGGCAGCUGCAGGAACUGCGAGAAGUUAAGGGUCUGUGCCCACCUAUUCCAGCUUCCCUUGCAAGGAGGGUGUUGGGCACCAGAAGGCCCUGGGGAAAGUGGGAGCCGCAGACAGCCAGGCAGCUCUUCUAUGUCUG